CGGAGCCCGAGCGCUGCGGAGCCGGCUCCGAGGAGAGGGAGCGCUCACCCUGCUCCUCGUGCUGCCGCUACCGCAGCCUUGCUGCUGCUGCCUGCUUCUGCCUGCUUUUGUGCAAGCAUAUUCUUUGAAUUGUUGCCUGAACAACCGUUUGAAACACUCUGAUGUGAGUGGCAGCAUAACUUGCAGGAGGAUUGUUCCUUGAUGUGACUGGGCACUGAGAUGAGGCUGUGACUGGCUGGUAGCUCCCAUGAUCCUCCUUAUUAUCCUCUUUAAAAAUGGGGUCUGAGCUCUGAAGUGCCUACUUUGUACACCAAGAGUGAUGCAUGCUGCCUUUAAGAUUUGUGUAUGUGGUUCCAGAAGUUCAUCUUCAGGCCUGAUUUUUGCCAAUGUCACUUUUGGGUGGAUAUGGCACAGCAUCUGCAGCAGGAAGGAAACCUGUGGAAUCUAUUGGAUCUUGCAGUGAAGCUGGAUUAGACCAAGCUAUUGAUGUGAUAAAGGAGUCUGAUUCUGGCAUUACCCUGGAAGACUUCUUCACUGCUUUAUCUGGCUUAGAGCUGCUUUGCAUUUCUGGACCCAGCUUUAAUGGAUGGGAGUCAAACUAGAUGAUUUUGUUCUAAGCAGCUAUGCAGGUGAUAGCUUAUAAAGGAAGAUUUACAAGCUUAGUACCAUGGGAUCUUGAAUUUACUGCUUCUAGAAGACUGUCAAACGUUUUCAGCUGACAGCAUUAAAAUAUUUGACUCACCAUUUAUCCUAUAAACUCAGAUUGGAAAAACAAGUUGGGCCUGAAGAUGUGGAAAACCAGAUGGACUCAAAAUGGCAAGAAGCAGUAGCAAAGGAUUUAAAUCAGGUAAGAUUACAAGUGCUUUGGGAGGUUGUGCUGUAGAUUCCAAGUUGGCACCUCUUUUCAAUCUCAAUGUAUCUUUUCUCCAUGCACUGACAUGACCCUUUAUUCAACCUCGGCUUGGAUGACAUUUCUGCUACCUUCCAGGAAAGGAAUUGUUUUUUGCAGCAGCUCCCUCUCUUAUUCAUUUUGAGAAAAGGAUUAAAUACUCCCUCUGACCAAACUUACAGGCAUGCUAAAGUGAAGCCACUUCAUGCUCCUGGCCAAACAAAGAACAAAAAUACCCACAAUAAGCAAAAGCAGAUGGCUUCAGUGGCAGGAAAUGAAUGAGCCAGACUGCAGGUAAAAUGGUUCUCUGCACACAUCGCAGAGGUUUGCACUGACAGGUUCUUUGUUAUCUGGGGCCUCCCCACAGGAGGCCAGAUGUCUUCUGUUGUGAGAGGAGAUAGAGAUGCUCUUCCUUUUCCUCCCCCUUUAACUUAUGGCUGUUUAAGUUACUGCUAAUGGAAGCAGAAGCCUGUUUUUCCCUCUUGGUCUCUGAUGUUUUUGGAAAGAGAAGAGAUAGUGAAGGGGUACUCUGAUAUGAAAGAAAAGGCCCAGAACUGGCCUUUACCUCCCCAUGACCUUCAUUUUAAAGAACAGGGAGGUCAGUGCUGCUAAUUGCACUUGAAAGGAUUAACCACUUGAUCGCUUUCAUUUAGUGGAACAAAAUUUUUCUUUAGUCUCAAAGCUGGGAAAAUGUAUCAGUGGUACUGAGGUGCUUUCAGGGUGAGAUGGAUGACUUGGUUUGGCUUCUUAUACCAACAUCAAAAUUAAAUAGAAGAUGUAAAUAUGUUUAUACAUAUGAGAGAACGGGCAACUACAUCUGCAGCUCAGACAGGACAGAUUUGCAGCAGAAGUGACAAUAACCUCCUUCCUGCCCCCACGAAAGGUUAUCAGAGGAAUACCAGCAAACCAUAACGAAUUACAGAUAUUAGGUGUGCCUCUGUCCCUUGGUAUAGCAAAUGACUCUUGCAUUUCACUGAGGUUGCACUGGAAGAAAAAGAAUCUGAACCAAAUUCCUGUACACAAUGUGCCAGAUUUAAAAUCCUUUCUGUACAUUAAUUUAAUCUGAGAGUUAAAACUAAUUUUCUUCUGGAAUAGAAUCUUAAUUCCCGUUGCUCAAAUAAAGUGAGGUACACAAAACUUAAAUUUGGAAACAAUUUUUCACCUUAUGAAACUAUUUUCCAAAAGUAACAAAGAACAGCUUAUACAAGCUUUUAUCUGACCUCUGCUUCUUAAAUAAAAAACAUGUUUUCAGGGAAAUGUGUCUUGGAAGUAACUCCCCCUCUCCCCCCAGAUUUUUCUCUCUGGUUCUUGUAAAACAUUAGGUCAGUGGGUUCAUUUUAUUUUUGUUUGUUUAAAGUGGGUGAAAGUUUCCUUCUCAAGCUA